CCAGAUUAUGAUUAACAAUUGCUAUUUGCUUAGGAGAGAGAUCUAAGAGCCAAAAAAGAACAAUGAAAAACUUCCUUGCAUCUCUUCAUCAUAUCUCUUCUUCCCGACUUCUCCUAAAGCUUGGGUUACGAGCUAAAUUAACUAUAUAGUUCGAGAUUUGAGGAAGAUGACCUAAAAACUUCGUCUCUUUUUCAAAUUAGAAACAUUGGUUGUUGCUAAAUCAAAAUAGCCUUCAGUUUGGGGAAUCUCAGUAGCUCCCAUCCAAGGUUCAAUUCUCCACCCACAUUGUAAUUUAAUCCCCAUUUUUCCUACCCCGAUUUUAUAAAAAAGAAAAAAAAAGAAUAGCCUUCAAUUCUCCCUAUUCACUUUCAAUAAUAUUUUUGCAGAGAAGCGUAUGCAUUCGAUACAGUUCUUUUACUAUUUUCAGCUUUCUUAACAGUUGCUUUUUGAUCUCUUUGUAGGUGCUGAUGUUUCAACAAACACUUAGAGCUUGUAAUCUUUAUGAUUGUGAACCUGAAGGUAUAUAUGAUUAAUUCCAGGUAUAUACUAUCAUAUUUUCCGGAAAGCAGUAGCAAGUUACUUUUUUUUCAUUGUUCCUUUUGGUAUUUUUUUCUUUGUUCUUCUUAUGAUAUUUAUAUGUUAUAUAUUCAAAUUUUCAUUUAGAUGGUGACUUUUGAUGAAAUAAUUUUUUUUUGAUGAAAAGAUGAUGGUGACUUAGAAUUAUAUGCUUGCGAAACUUUGAGGAUAGGAAGUUUUAUUCCACUUUUGGAUUUGAGUUGCUCAUAUGAACUUCCACAGAAGCUAUCGCAUUUAUCACUAGGUUUUAGAGGGUGACUCCAGCCCCACCUCUAUUUAGAUAUUGCAAUUUCAUUAAUGAAAAAUCAUAUGUAUAGGACCAACAGGGCCAGUGGCUAUGACUAAAAUAUAUUUUAGAAGUUCAUAGAGGUGUAUUUAGUAUUUACAAUUUAGGCUAUUUAGGCUUUAAACAAUUGUUUAAAUAUGUCAGAGAUGAAGUCAUAUUUGAGAAAUAUGUCAUAAGCUAUUUCCAAUUAUUCUAUUAUCCAUUGUUUUGACUCUUGGGAAGCAAUAAGAAUAAGAUUAAAGGAAGUAAGCACUAAAGUAUUGAAUAGAAAAACAUAGUUAUAAGAUGUGGCAUAGUUUUUUUCCUAAAGAAUAAUUGUCCGCCACAAUUAUAGAUGGAUAGCUUAAGUUGUAUGGAAUAAGAAUGUCAUCUAUUGUACCUUAUGUUUUCAAACACAAUUGGCAUGUGGGAGAAAGUCUUACCAUAUGACCUAAUCGAAUAAAUUACUAUCUAAUAUUUGCAGUAUUUUUCUUAAUCUAUGAGGGUAAAAGUUGCCUUGUUAUUUGGGACCAAGGGAUUGCUUGUUCUUCACUAAAUUAGUUGAUCUAUAAAAAGAGUACCUAUGAUGAAAUAACAAUCAGUUUAUUUUUUUUAAAAAUGAUUGGUGAAUGCCAAGAGAAUCCCAUGUUCUAGGGGUUUGGUUCAACAGUAAAUGUUGUGCUAUGUGGAACGCGAAAAUGUGCUAGGUGUACAUCACACGUUUGAAGUUUGGGUGUUAUAUCAAAUUUUGUAUUUAAUUGAAUAACAACAUUGUGAUAAAUCCAUUAUCUCAGUAGUUUCUCGGUCAUAAAAAAUAUUUGACGAGAGAGUCCACAAGAUCAUGCUGUUAGGACAAUGUUCCAAUUUCAGCUUCCAAUUUCGUUUUUAGAGGGUUGUACAGAGGUGAUAAAUGAUUUUAAGAUCCAUGGGUAUUUAUGCUUGUCAUGUCUCAUAAUCCAGGACUAUGUUGCUCGGACUCUUUAAAAAUGUCAAGAGGUGCAUGUCGGAUUCGCCAAAAGUAGUGCAUUUUUGAAGAAUUCAUUUGUAGUUUUCAUGAUUCAUUUUUCUUGAUAUUAGGCUCGAACAAGCAGAACAAAAUCGCUAAGAAAAUCUCGAGUACAUUUAGUUGUCAAGCGUCAUUGCUGAAGAACUUAUAGCAUGUCACCUAAUAUCUGAAAAAUUCUCAGAUAUAUUGCUCUUUUUUCCUGAAAUUUUUCAAUAGGGAAGCACCAUUCUUCAGGCGAUAUGGUAAUACCAUUAUCUACGAGCAACAAUAUCUAUAAAUGUAUAACAAUUUUUCAGAUGCUUCUCCUACAAAAUGAUCAGUUGAGCAUCUUUCGAAGAUCUGCAAUCAGCCAUACUGCAAAUGCAGUUGGUAUAAGCCUCUCGACGAUGCAUUCCAAAGUAACUUAGUAAGAAAUCCUUCUCCAUAACUCUUUAUGAGUUUAGUUGACCACAUAUUUUUUAUUUAAGUCAAACAAGUAACUGAUAGUAUUCCUACUUUUUUUUGAAUAUGUAGCCAAGAUUUUAAAAGCUAAGCUUAUAUAUGUCAUGUACAGGCAGGUAAUGGUAGAAACUCA
rnacentral:lncRNA from 1 species